GUAGGUGGCAAGCGUUGUCCGGAAUUAUUGGGCGUAAAGCGCGCGCAGGCGGUCCUUUAAGUCUGAUGUGAAAGCCCACGGCUCAACCGUGGAGGGUCAUUGGAAACUGGGGGACUUGAGUACAGAAGAGGAAAGCGGAAUUCCAAGUGUAGCGGUGAAAUGCGUAGAGAUUUGGAGGAACACCAGUGGCGAAGGCGGCUUUCUGGUCUGUAACUGACGCUGAGGCGCGAAAGCGUGGGGAGCAAACAGGGAUUAGAUACCCUGGUAGUCCACGCCGUAAACGAUGAGUGCUAGGUGUUAGGGGGUUUCCCGCCCCUUAGUGCUGCAGCUAACGCAUUAAGCACUCCGCCUGGGGAGUACGGCCGCAAGGCUG
rnacentral:rRNA from 1 species